rnacentral:rRNA from 1 species
AUGAACGCUGGCGGCGUGCCUAAUACAUGCAAGUCGAGCGAACAGAUGAGGAGCUUGCUCCUCUGACGUUAGCGGCGGACGGGUGAGUAACACGUGGAUAGCCUACCUAUAAGACUGGGAUAACUUCGGGAAACCGGAGCUAAUACCGGAUAAUAUAUUGAACCGCAUGGUUCAAUAGUGAAUGACGGUUUUGCUGUCACUUAUAGAUGGAUCCGCGCCGCAUUAGCUAGUUGGUAAGGUAACGGCUUACCAAGGCGACGAUGCGUAGCCGACCUGAGAGGGUGAUCGGCCACACUGGAACUGAGACACGGUCCAGACUCCUACGGGAGGCAGCAGUAGGGAAUCUUCCGCAAUGGGCGAAAGCCUGACGGAGCAACGCCGCGUGAGUGAUGAAGGUCUUCGGAUCGUAAAACUCUGUUAUUAGGGAAGAACAAAUGUGUAAGUAACUAUGCACGUCUUGACGGUACCUAAUCAGAAAGCCACGGCUAACUACGUG